rnacentral:tRNA from 1 species
UAAUCCCACCUCUAACAAAAUAUUGUAUUAGACUUACAAUCUAAAUAUCCCAUC